CGGCAUCCUCUUUCAUUGGCCGAGGCGCGGACGCUGCCAUGUUGGAGGAAGCAGUGCCUUCUGUGCGGUGGAAACGCCGUGGCUUCACCGGUAGCGUCGGGGAGCGCAGCCUCCUACCUUUUCUCCUCGCUCGAGUGUCGGUGCUGAGAGGCGGCGGCCGGCGGGAUGGAGAGAAGUAGGAUGAACCUGCCCAAGGGGCUGGACACGCUCUGCUUCGACAAGGACGAGUUCAUGAAGGAAGAUUUCGAUGUUGAUCACGUUGUGUCUGACUGUAGGAAGCGUGUCCAGCUGGAGGAACUAAGAGGAGAUCUGGAACUCUACUAUAAACUUUUAAAACAGCCAUGGUUGAGCUCAUCAACAAGGAUUAUGCAGAUUUUGUCAACCUUUCCACAAACUUGGUUGGCAUGGACAAAGCCCUCAAUGAACUUUCUGUGCCUUUGGGACAGUUAUGAGAAGUUCUGAGUCUCAGGUCAUCAGUCAGUGAAGGAAUUCGGGCAGUAGAUGAACUAAUGUGUAAACAACAGGACAUAAGGAAGAAAAAGAUGUGUGUGUUGAUGCUUAUACAAGUUAUUUGAUCAGUUGAAAAGAUUGAAAAAAUCUUAAAUUCACAAAGUUCUAAAGAAACCUCUGCACUAGAAGCAAGCAGCCCUCUCUGGACUAGAGAGAUUUUGGAGAGAAUUGCCACAGAAUUUAACCAGUUACAGUUUCAUGCUGUUCAGAGCAAAGGCAUGCCUCUUCUGGACAAAGUAAGACCACGUAUAGCCCACAUUACGGCCAUGCUGCAGCAGUCCCUGGGAGGCCUGUUGCUAGAAGGGCUUCAGACUUCCAAUGUGGACAUCAUACGGCACUGCCUCCGGACUUAAGCUACAUUUGACAAGACACGGGAUGCAGAGGCGUUCGUUGGUCAAGUACUGGUGAAACUGUACAUGGAUGAGGUGAUUGUAGAGCAGAUCGUUGAGUCUCAUCCGGACGGCCUGAAGAUCAUGUAUGCUAAUAAGCUCCUGGAGUUCGUUCCUCACCACUGCCGCCUUCUUCGAGAGGUCACAGGAGGAGCCAUCUCAAGCCUUCAGCUGUCCCACCUGCCCAGAGCUCUGCAGCCUUCCUGAGUCGCUCGUGGCUUCUCAUCGCCCACAGAGGAGCAUCCAGUCUUCCUGCGCAACCUGUGACCCUUGGUGCUGGAGUCCUAGUGGUUCUCCGCUGUAGAACUUUUUACUGUGGAACUUUCCCCCAUACCACUAUGGGUCUUGGCCAGACAGGAGCGCUUGACCUUCCCUAACACACCUGGUACAGAAGAUCCCUGACUUCACCUUGGUUCAGUUUAUGGUUUUUUGACUUUUUAUAAUAGUGCAGAAGUGAUAUGCAUUUAGUUUGGAUCUUUUCCCAGGCUGGCGAUCUACAGUAGGGUCCUCUUUUGUAAUGCUGGGCAGGGGCAGCGAGCACAGCCCCCAGGCAAACCACGUGAUCACGAGGGUCAGCAACCAACACACUUGAACCGUCCUGUUCUGGCUUUCAGUGCACUGUUCAGUAAGUUACAUGAGAUACCAGACAUUUUAUUGUGAAAUAGGCUUUGUGUUAGAGGAUUUUGCCCAAUUGUGCAAUACUGUAAGUUUCUCAACACAUUUAAGUUAGGCGGGGCUAAGCUCUGAUGUUCAGUCGCUUAGGUGUUUUCCAUGCAUUUUCAACUAAAGAGAUUUCCAGCUGAACAAUGGGUUUAUUAGAAGCCGAGGCCGUCAUAAGCUGAGGAACAUCUGUCUAUACUGUGCGCCUCUGUGUUUUCCUUCAUUGCUUCCUGUCUCAUAUCCCUUUGUCUUUCUGUUGAUCUGUCACUCCACAUGAAGCUCCAGUCAAAUACAACUUCUUUUGUUUUUAGGUUAUUU